GUUUGUAUGUCUUUUAUGCAUUGAUGCCACUUUUGCGCAGUGGAGUGUGUCAGGAGGAGUGAGUGCAGGCAGUAGUGGCUGGAAAUUUGAGGCCAAGCUCACCUUUAAAUGGGGAGGAAGAAAGCAACGCUCUACAAAACUACAAAUCUUUGAUGUUGUGAUGUUUAUGGUUAACAACAAAAGUGAAAGUAGCGUCAGACUUAACCCUUGUGACUAUGCCCUCUAUGAUCAAAAUGGCGACUUAGAGGUCACCAUGACAGAUUUUGACAUCAUCUUUGAUCAAAACGUAGAAAACAAACAUCAGCUGAUUGAAAGGAUGUUUGCUGAACUUGACGAAGAUAAAGAUAAUAAAAUUUCCCUCAUGGAGUUUGAAAACAGAAAGCAUAAAGUAAUUUCCCCGCAGAGCUGUCAAGUCUGAAGAACACAUGAAAUCCAGCAAUUCUUAUUAAACCGUCCCAUUUCCUUCCAUGAAGCAACUAGAUAAUCAAUAUAUAUGCCAUUACAUUAAAUAAGGAACAGGAUUUUAAAAGAACCUAAAUGAAUGUAAUGCAUCUGUUUAUUAUUAUUUUGUUCAAUAAACGGCUGAU